rnacentral:ncRNA from 1 species
AAUUUGAUGGCACCGCCUUUGUUAUUCUCUAGGAUUGUUUGUACCGACCCUUUACCAAAACUUUGCUGGCCCAUAAUUACCGCACGUUUAUGAUCCUGUAACGCACCGGCAACAAUUUCUGAUGCAGAAGCAGAGCCCCCAUUAAUCAACACAACAAUCGGCGCGCCUUUUAAGACAUCAUCCGGGCCCGCUUUAAAGCUCAUUUUGGAAUGUUCAAUUCGACCUUCUGUAUACACAAUUAAACCGGAGUCCAAGAAAGAGUCACUGACCGAAACAGCUGCAUUUAACAAACCACCCGGGUUAUUUCGUAA